GCCCGUUCGCGCGACUGGCGAGAAAAGAUGGGGAACCAUCGGGGAACGCGAACCUAGAGAGCCGCUCGCCUGGGCACCCAUC
rnacentral:ncRNA from 2 species